GCCCGUGUACCAAAGGGUCAUGGGUUUGAUUUCCGGUCAAGGCCACCUACCUGGGUUGCAGGUUCGAUCCCUGCCUUGGUUG
rnacentral:tRNA from 1 species